rnacentral:rRNA from 1 species
UACGUAGGGGGCUAGCGUUGUCCGGAAUCAUUGGGCGUAAAGAGCGUGUAGGCGGCCCGGUAAGUCCGCUGUGAAAGUCGGGGGCUCAACCCUCGAAAGCCGGUGGAUACUGUCGAGCUAGAGUGCGGAAGAGGCGAGUGGAAUUCCUGGUGUAGCGGUGAAAUGCGCAGAUAUCAGGAGGAACACCGAUUGCGAAGGCAGCUCGCUGGGACGUAACUGACGCUGAGACGCGAAAGCGUGGGGAGCAAACAGG